rnacentral:lncRNA from 1 species
AUGUUGAUUACGGGGUGAAAGCUUUGAUCGAUUUUGAGUCCUUGAUCUUACUCUGAAGAAGAAGAAGAAUCGCCCAGACACUGAGAAGGUUUUGAGGUGACUGGUUUGAGGAAGAAGCUAUCUUCACUGUUGUGACUGCAGGUGCUAAAUAAGACAACUGGUGAGAUUUGUAUGCUCAGAGCUGAGAGCUAUGAUUAGUUCAAUUACAUAGAUAUCCACCUGCAAGUAU